UCAGAUGUAGCUAUCGGAGCAGUUUUAUCACAGGAAAAUAAACCAAUUACUUUCAUAUAUAAAACCUUAUAUGAAGUAAUCGGUCUAGAAAUACAAACAGACCAUCAAAAUUUAUCUUUUACAAUCUCAGAUAAAAACCCGAUCGUAGAAAUGAAAAGAUGGCAUUUUUUAACAGAAAGUUUCACCGCAAAAGUAAUAUAUAAACGCGGAACAACAAAUGUCGUAGCUGACGCGUUACUUCGAAUAAAAAUAAAUAAUAUUAUUAUUAGAACAAUCAAGCUCAGAUCAAAAUACACAGCAUUCUACUGAAAGUAGUUUUGAAAAUGUAAUACAUGAGACCCGUAAACCGUUAAAUCAGUUUCAGCAAGAAGUGUUAUUAACAACGGCGAGUUGACCAAGGACAACGCUGAGAAGAAAUAUUUUGACGAAGGUCAAAAGAAGUUCUUUAUUCGGAUAUCAGCUUAAGACUAAAAAUAAAAUAAAAUAAUUGCUAAAGGACGAUAUAUUGACAUAAAAAUGUAGACUUUAUGCCAAAGAAAUCGAAUUCUGGACCAUAGUGCAACGCCAAAAUUCUGCGCUGACAGCGCUGGAGCGGAUCCACCUGCAUGGUGCAUCACUGUGGAUUUAAUCUUUGCAGAUAAUGCGCUCGUAAUAGCGUUGAGCAAAGCGUUAGAAGCCAGUGCAUCGCAAUGGCUGUCGCAGAUAUGCUUCGCUGGCAUCACAUGGCCCCAGUUUAAGGAACUGGACGUCCAAAACCUGGAGAGAGCUUGGCCCAGAAGAAGUCGCAAUGUCACCUUGUUGCUGUCUAAAUGGAAGGCCAAGAAUUUGGAGGAGCGGUAGCGUUGGCUCACAUGGCACAACUCGAUAAUAAUUUGUUGCGUUGGGUGUUUAGGACUAAUAUGGUGCGCAAUCAGCUUCUGCAACAGGUUCAAGCUUACGCCUUCAAGACACGUAACAACGAAGAUGAUUCUGGCCCAGAAAAGAAGAAGUUAAGAGCGCAGUUGCAGACCAUGUGCCAUUUUUGUGGGAAAGUUGGCCAAUCGGUGUACUGAUUGAAUCUGGUAAAUUUAGUAUUUACAUAUCCAAAAUUAUCAAUGCCGUUCAGAAUAAUGCACCUGAGAACAGUGUGGAAAUAAUUUUUGACAUCAAUACAGAAUUAAGUGAUAAU